rnacentral:rRNA from 1 species
GUAGCAAUAUUCCGUAAUCGGAGCGGCGCAAGGGUGCGUAACACGUGGGUAAUCUGCCAUGAAGUUUGGAAUAACUCGCUGAAAGGCGAGCUAAUGCCGGAUGUGAAAGCCGAGGGGCAUCUCUUGGUUUUAAAGCUGGGGACCGUAAGGCCUGGCGCUUCAUGAUGAACCCGCGGCCUAUCAGCUAGUUGGUAAGGUAACGGCUUACCAAGGCUAAGACGGGUAGCUGGUCUGAGAGGACGACCAGCCACACUGGAACUGAGACACGGUCCAGACACCUACGGGUGGCAGCAGUCGAGAAUUUUUCACAAUGGGCGCAAGCCUGAUGGAGCGACGCCGCGUGGGGGAUGAAUGGCUUCGGCCCGUAAACCCCUGUCAUUUGCGAUUAACCGUUGUUGAUUAAGAGAUGACAACCUGAUAGUAGCGAAAGAGGAAGGGACGGCUAACUCUGUGCCAGCAGCCGCGGUAAUACAGAGGUCCCAAGCGUUGUUCGGAUUCACUGGGCGUAAAGGGUGCGUAGGUGGCAAGGUAAGUCGGAUGUGAAAUCUCCGAGCUCAACUCGGAAAUGGCAUCGGAAACUACUUUGCUCGAGGGUUGGAGGGGGGACUGGAAUACUUGGUGUAGCAGUGAAAUGCGUAGAUAUCAAGUGGACACCAGUGGCGAAGGCGAGUCCCUGGACAACUCCUGACACUGAGGCACGAAAGAUAGGGGAGCAAACAGGAUUAGAUACCCCGGUAGUCCUAGCA